rnacentral:tRNA from 1 species
GGAGAGAUGCGAGAGCGGUUGAAUCGGGCGGUCUCGAAAACCGUUGUGCCGCAAGGUACCGGGGGUUCGAAUCCCCCUCUCUCCG